rnacentral:rRNA from 1 species
ARGGGGCAGCCMUGAGGAUGUNNCUUGWUCUCAWYUUAGUUGCUCAAUGAACUUGAUCUUUCAGUACAAAAGCUGAAAUAUUCCCAUAAGACGAGAAGACCCUGUGGAGCUUAAGCUAAAACACUACUAUUAUAUAGUGCCUCCCUUUAGUUGGGGCGACUACGGAACAAAACACAACUUCCCUGCCACACAAUUAACCCCGCAACGACACACAUGUCACUGCACCCCUACCACGACCCAGUACUACUGACUAACGAACCAAGUUACCCCAGGGAUAACAGCGCCAUCCUCUUCUAGAGCCCCUAUCGCCAAGAGGGUUUACGACCUCGAUGUUGGAUCAGGACCUCCUGGUGGUGCAGCCGCUACCAAGGGUUCGUUUGUUCAACGAUUAAUGUC